UGGCCCGAGAUGAGUUCUCCCUGAGACUUUAAGUCUCCUGAAGGAACGUUGAAGACGACGACGUUGAUAGGUCGGGUGUGUAAGCGCAGCGAUGCGUUGAGCUAACCGAUACUAAUGAACCGUGAGGCUUAACCUUACAACGCCGAAGC
rnacentral:rRNA from 1 species